rnacentral:antisense_RNA from 1 species
AGGAAAGCUUCCGUUGCGGUUUCGUGCGGGGGCUUUUUUCUUUUGC